rnacentral:rRNA from 1 species
UACGGGGGGAGCAAGCGUCGUUCGGAUUUACUGGGCGUAAAGGGCGCGUAGGCGGCCAGCACAAGUCAGUUGUGAAAUCUCCGAGCUUAACUCGGAAAGGUCAACUGAUACUGUGCGGCUAGAGUGCGGAAGGGGCAACUGGAAUUCUUGGUGUAGCGGUGAAAUGCGUAGAUAUCAAGAGGAACACCUGCGGCGAAGGCGGGUUGCUGGGCCGACACUGACGCUGAGGCGCGAAAGCCAGGGGAGCGAACGGG